rnacentral:rRNA from 1 species
CCUACGGGAGGCAGCAGUGGGGAAUAUUGCACAAUGGGCGCAAGCCUGAUGCAGCAACGCCGCGUGAACGAUGAAGGUCUUCGGAUCGUAAAGUUCUGUUGCAGGGGAAGAUAAUGACGGUACCCUGUGAGGAAGCCCCGGCUAACUACGUGCCAGCAGCCGCGGUAAUACGUAGGGGGCUAGCGUUAUCCGGAUUUACUGGGCGUAAAGGGUGCGUAGGUGGUCUUUCAAGUCGGUGGUUAAAGGCUACGGCUCAACCGUAGUUAGCCUCCGAAACUGGAAGACUUGAGUGCAGGAGAGGAAAGUGGAAUUCCCAGUGUAGCGGUGAAAUGCGUAGAUAUUGGGAGGAACACCAGUAGCGAAGGCGGCUUUCUGGACUGCAACUGACACUGAGGCACGAAAGCGUGGGUAGCAAACAGGAUUAGAUACCCUGGUAGUCCACGCUGUAAACGAUGAGUACUAGGUGUCGGGGGUUACCCCCCUCGGUGCCGCAGCUAACGCAUUAAGUACUCCGCCUGGGGAGUACGCACGCAAGUGUGAAACUCAAAGGAAUUGACGGGGACCCGCACAAGUAGCGGAGCAUGUGGUUUAAUUCGAAGCAACGCGAAGAACCUUACCUAAGCUUGACAUCCCUUAGACCGGUGUUUAAUCACACCUUCCCUUCGGGGCUGAGGUGACAGGUGGUGCAUGGUUGUCGUCAGCUCGUGUCGUGAGAUGUUGGGUUAAGUCCCGCAACGAGCGCAACCCUUGUCUUUAGUUGCCAGCAUUCAGUUGGGCACUCUAGAGAGACUGCCAGGGAUAACCUGGAGGAAGGUGGGGAUGACGUCAAAUCAUCAUGCCCCUUAUGCUUAGGGCUACACACGUGCUACAAUGGGUGGUACAGAGGGUUGCCAAACCGUGAGGUGGAGCUAAUCCCUUAAAGCCAUUCUCAGUUCGGAUUGUAGGCUGAAACUCGCCUACAUGAAGCUGGAGUUACUAGUAAUCGCAGAUCAGAAUGCUGCGGUGAAUGCGUUCCCGGGUCUUGUACACACCGCCCGUCACACCAUGGGAGUCGGAAACACCCGAAGCCGAUUAUCCAACCGCAAGGAGGAAGUCGUCGAAGGUGGCGUCGAUAACUGGGGUGAAGUCGUAACAAGGUAGCCGUAUCGGAAGGUGCGGCUG